rnacentral:rRNA from 1 species
UUACUGCGAAGGGGGGACGGAGAAGGCUAUGUUAGCCGGGCGACGGUUGUCCCGGUUUAAGCAUGUAGGCUGGUUAUCCAGGCAAAUCCGGAUAAUCAAGGCUGAGGUGUGAUGACGAGGCACUACGGUGCUGAAGUAACAAAUGCCCUGCUUCCAGGAAAAGCCUCUAAGCAUCAGGUAACAUCAAAUCGUACCCCAAACCGACACAGGUGGUCAGGUAGAGAAUACCAAGGCGCUUGAGAGAACUCGGGUGAAGGAACUAGGCAAAAUGGUGCCGUAACUUCGGGAGAAGGCACGCUGGUGUGUAGGUGAAGUCCCUGCGGAUGGAGCUGAGACCAGUCGAAGAUACCAGCUGGCUGCAACUGUUUAUUAAAAACACAGCACUGUGCAAACACGAAAGUGGACGUAUACGGUGUGACGCCUGCCCGGUGCCGGAAGGUUAAUUGAUGGGGUUAUCCGUAAGGAGAAGCUCUUGAUCGAAGCCCCGGUAAACGGCGGCCGUAACUAUAACGGUCCUAAGGUAGCGAAAUUCCUUGUCGGGUAAGUUCCGACCUGCACGAAUGGCGUAAUGAUGGCCAGGCUGUCUCCACCCGAGACUCAGUGAAAUUGAACUCGCUGUGAAGAUGCAGUGUACCCGCGGCAAGACGGAAAGACCCCGUGAACCUUUACUAUAGCUUGACACUGAACAUUGAGCCUUGAUGUGUAGGAUAGGUGGGAGGCUUUGAAGCGUGGACGCCAGUCUGCGUGGAGCCAACCUUGAAAUACCACCCUUUAAUGUUUGAUGUUCUAACGUUGGCCCCUUACCGGGGUUGCGGACAGUGUCUGGUGGGUAGUUUGACUGGGGCGGUCUCCUCCCAAAGCGUAACGGAGGAGCACGAAGGUUAGCUAAUCCUGGUCGGACAUCAGGAGGUUAGUGCAAUGGCAUAAGCUAGCUUGACUGCGAGCGUGACGGCGCGAGCAGGUGCGAAAGCAGGUCAUAGUGAUCCGGUGGUUCUGAAUGGAAGGGCCAUCGCUCAACGGAUAAAAGGUACUCCGGGGAUAACAGGCUGAUACCGCCCAAGAGUUCAUAUCGACGGCGGUGUUUGGCACCUCGAUGUCGGCUCAUCACAUCCUGGGGCUGAAGUAGGUCCCAAGGGUAUGGCUGUUCGCCAUUUAAAGUGGUACGCGAGCUGGGUUUAGAACGUCGUGAGACAGUUCGGUCCCUAUCUGCCGUGGGCGCUGGAGAAUUGAGGGGGGCUGCUCCUAGUACGAGAGGACCGGAGUGGACGCAUCACUGGUGUUCGGGUUGUCAUGCCAAUGGCACUGCCCGGUAGCUAAAUGCGGAAGAGAUAAGUGCUGAAAGCAUCUAAGCACGAAACUUGCCCCGAGAUGAGUUCUCCCUGAGACUUUAAGUCUCCUGAAGGAACGUUGAAGACGACGACGUUGAUAGGCCGGGUGUGUAAGCGCAGCGAUGCGUUGAGCUAACCGGUACUAAUGAACCGUGAGGCUUAACCUU